ACUCCCCCGCUGGCGCCACCACUGCACUGGAAACAAGGAACCACUUUACUACGUCACGCUGCUGCCAUUAUACUCUUGGGUUGCUCAACAGAUAGCCAACUUUUAUUGGGCCUGAUCAUGAGUCUAAUCUUCACCCAAUAUGAAUGAGUAGACGAGGACACCCCGCCCCUUUAGAACUGUUCCGACUUCAAUUUUAAUGACGUGACGUCAGAGGAGUAACGCGUUUCAGUGGACAAUAGUUCCUGCUGCUAUCGUGUGGCCGCAGAAAACACUGACAGGCUGUCAUUUUCGACUUUUCUAGUUUUUUUUUGGUCUUCCAAUAUUUCUAAAUAAAAUGAGCCAUACACAGACGAGCCCGUACCAGUCCAUAGUGUGGAUGAGGAUGAAAAAUUCCAGAGAGUUGUUGAAGAACAGCAAAACCACCUAAUUAAUAUGGAUUUGCGCAAAUGUCAGAAUUGUACACAGAUGGCAUCGUAUGAAGAGUGUCUAUGCUGCUCGGAGGUUAUUGCAAUUGCAGGGACUUUUGAAAGAGACCAAGAGGUGACAGGACCUCUUAGUGUAUCACAGAUCACCCAGGAUUCGAACCAAUAUGCCUGAAUGUUUGGUCUGUGUAGCUUGCAAUUGGGAGGGGAAAGAAGAAUCGUAACAAGUCAAUUAAUGAGAAAUACAGACACGCAAGUUACAGAAACUUUGUUAGAUGGACUCAUGGCUACAUGGGAAAAGGCAACCGUACUGUGCUUCCAGCCUGCGUUGUCAAAACUAUUAGACAUCACUUUCAAUCGCAAUCAUAUACUGGGUUCAAAUAUCCCAUUGUUUAAAAAUACAGUUAAACUUUCCAAAGUCGAAUCCAAAAUGCCAUUGAAAUAUUGUUCGACUAAAAUUUGACUUGUAGAUUGUUAAUUAAUGAAAAACACAACAAUUUGGCAUGUAAAAUAAGAUCGACUUAGAAAUUAUUCGACUUAAAAAUUAUUUGAACUAGGCACAGUCGACUUUAGGCAACUGUACCCGUACACCUACAUAUGCAUAAGAGCAUGGUGUUAAUAAAUUGUUCAUUAUUGUAUAUUAAAUCCGGUUUUGUGUUAUUGCGUCUGCCUUGUUGGGGUUGUAAAAUGGACGUUUUACUGUAUUUGCCUAAUUUUUGACAGUAAACCGAGUCUUGUGACUUUCAAUUGCUUCUGCCUUGUCCGGGUGAUGGAAAGUGCUGCACAAUGAUGGUGGUACUUGCAUCUCCACUGGUUUGG